rnacentral:rRNA from 1 species
UACGGGGGGGGCAAGCGUUGUUCGGAAUUACUGGGCGUAAAGGGCUCGUAGGCGGCCAACUAAGUCCGACGUGAAAUCCCCAGGCUUAACCUGGGAACUGCGUCGGAUACUGGAUGGCUUGAAUUCGGGAGAGGGAUGCAGAAUUCCAGGUGUAGCGGUGAAAUGCGUAGAUAUCUGGAGGAAUACCGGUGGCGAAGGCGGCAUCCUGGACCGACAUUGACGCUGAUGAGCGAAAGCGUGGGGAGCGAACAGG